CCUACGGGAGGCAGCAGUGAGGAAUAUUGGUCAAUGGGCUUACGCCUGAACCAGCCAAGUCGCGUGAGGGAAGACUGCCCUAUGGGUUGUAAACCUCUUUUGUCAGGGAGCAAUUGGCGCUACGUGUAGCGUUAUCGAGAGUACCUGAAGAAAAAGCAUCGGCUAACUCCGUGCCAGCAGCCGCGGAAAUACGGAGGAUGCGAGCGUUAUCCGGAUUGAUUGGGUUUAAAGGGUGCGUAGGCGGAAUGCCAAGUCAGCGGUAAAAUCGCGGGGCUCAACCUCGCUCCGCCGUUGAAACUGGCGUUCUUGAGUGGGCGAGAAGUAUGCGGAAUGCGUGGUGUAGCGGUGAAAUGCAUAGAGAUCACGCAGAACUCCGAUUGCGAAGGCAGCAUACCGGCGCCCAACUGACGCUGAAGUACGAAAGCGUGGGUAUCGAACAGGAUUAGAUACCCCGGUAGUC
rnacentral:rRNA from 1 species